rnacentral:tRNA from 1 species
UUUAAUGAUAGUUUAAUAAAAAUAAAAUUUUGUGGUAAUUUAGAUAUUAUUUUUUAAUUCAUUAA